AACGAACGCUGGCGGCAUGCCUAACACAUGCAAGUCGAACGCGUGUAGCAAUACACGAGUGGCGGACGGGUGAGUAACGCGUGGGAACCUGCCCAAUGGUAGGGAAUAACUGCGGGAAACUGCAGCUAAUACCCUAUGCUCCCUACGGGGGAAAGAUUUAUCGCCAUUGGAGGGGCCCGCGUCGGAUUAGCUAGUUGGCGGGGUAACGGCCCACCAAGGCUACGAUCCGUAGCUGGUCGAGAGGAUGAUCAGCCACACUGGGACUGAGAUACGGCCCAGACUCCUACGGGAGGCAGCAGUGGGAAUAUUGGACAAUGGGGGAAACCCUGAUCCAGCAAUGCCGCGUGAGUGAAGAAGGCCUUAGGGUUGUAAAGCUCUUUCGGCGGGGACGAUGGUGACGGUACCGCAGAAGAAGCCCCGGCUAACUUCGUGCCAGCCGCCGCA
rnacentral:rRNA from 1 species